rnacentral:rRNA from 1 species
UAGGGAAUAUUAGAAAUGGACGAAAGUCUGAUCUAGCAACACCGCGUGUGCGAAGAAGGCCUUCGGGUCGUAAAGCACUUUUUGGAAGGAAUAGGAAGGAAUGUACUUCCAGAAUAAGUCUCGGCUAACUACGUGCCAGCAGCCGCGGUAACACGUAGGAGGCAAACGUUAUCCGGAUUUACUGGGCGUAAAGCGCGUGUAGGUGGUACUGUAAGUAGGGCGUGAAAGCUCCGGGCUCAACUGGGAUAGGCCGUUCUAAACUACAGGACUAGAGGAUGGUAGAGGGAGGUGGAAUUCCAGGUGUAGCGGUGGAAUGCGCAGAUAUCGGGAGGAACACCGGUGGCGAAGGCGGCCUCCUGGACCAUUCCUGACACUCAGACGCGAAAGCUAGGGUAGCAAACG